rnacentral:rRNA from 1 species
CAGUAGCCACGGGAAUACGAAGGGGGCUAGCGUUGCUCGGAAUGACUGGGCGUAAAGGGCGCGUAGGCGGCGAUCAAAGUCAGGCGUGAAAUUCCUGGGCUCAACCUGGGAGCUGCGCUUGAUACUUGGUUGCUUGAGUGGGGAAGAGGGUCGUGGAAUUCCCAGUGUAGAGGUGAAAUUCGUAGAUAUUGGGAAGAACACCGGUGGCGAAGGCGGCGACCUGGUCCUUGACUGACGCUGAGGCGCGAAAGCGUGGGGAGCAAACAGGAUUAGAUACCCCCGUAGUCCCUGUCUCUUAUAC